GCAAACCAUGCUGCACAGACCAGUGAUGUACACCUCGGGAAGUGGAGGUAUUGCUCUCCCUGGUUCCAAUCCUGCUGCCAUCUGUGCCUAAGCUGCCAAGUGGUUUCUUGUGGCUGAAACAGAACAACCUACAGGGAAGAUAGAUGCAAAGAAAAAGAAAGAAUUUACAUGAUGCAGAGAAAUUUCUGGAGAACAGAUGUGGGGACUAGAGAGGUAAUCCAGAGGAAAAAAAGCUUCCUCAGAAUCACAGAAUAAACUAGGUUGGAAAAGACCUUUGAGACCAUCAAGUCCAACCUGCAGCCUAACUUUAUCAUGUCUGAAGCGCACUGCAUUGGUGAAGAAAACUCUUAUUAUCACUACAUGGCCCUGCUCAGGUCUUGUGGGACUGUGUGCUGGUCACUGAGAGCACAGCUCUGACCCUUGGUUCUCCUGCAGCGAGCAACCCUGCUGCUGCUUCCCCUUGCCACCUCCAUGGACCCAAUCCCUCUCUGGGGGACUGACAUCUGACACCAUGGCAUAGUGCUUAUGCCAAUCAGUGCUUUUAACAGAACUCUGUCAGUUUACAGCAUAGAGCAACAUUGUAAGGAACAAAAAGAAAAUUGAUACUCCAUGGAAAGAUAGUGUCUUUCAUAAAUGAGAUACAGAACAGAAAUUGGGUGUUUAUAUUUGAUACUUGAUUAUUGAUCAUUUGAUUUCUACAGAAUGGAUUUCUUCUAUCCUUAUAUAGCAGGUACAGAAGUGUCCAAAAUAUAAAGACUGAAAGUUCCUUGCUCAAUGUCACCUCAAAUUAAAGUCAGACAGAAAGACUACAGGAUUUGUUAAAGUUGUGCUUUAUCUGCUGGGCCAUGUUGUUUCCCUUGAAAUGCACUGGAAAAAUAGUAUAGCAGCAGUGUGAGAGACAAGAAAAUGAAGUUAUUCUGCAAAAAUGCUACUUUAAAAGCAUUGUACAUUAGUGUCUGACUUUGGUUUAAAAGCAUCAGUUUCUGUUUUACCUGCAGCACUUGUACAAUCACUGCUUGUCUG